rnacentral:rRNA from 1 species
GUCCUCAUGGCCCUUAUAGUGGGGCUACACACGGUCAUACAAUGGAUGGUACAAAGGGUCGCCAACCCGCGAGGGGGAGCCCAAUCCCGAUAAAGCCAUUCGUAGUCCGGAUCGCAGUCUGCAACUCGACUGCGUGAAGUCGGAAUCGCUAGUAAUCGUGGAUCAGCAUGUCACGGUGAAUACGUUCCCGGGUCCUU